UACAGAGGGUGCAAGCGUUAAUCGGAAUUACUGGGCGUAAAGCGUGCGCAGACGGUUGCGUAAGUCAGAUGUGAAAGCCCCGGGCUCAACCUGGGAAUUGCAUUUGAGACUGCGUAGCUAGGGUGCGGAAGAGGGAAGCGGAAUUUCCGGUGUAGCGGUGAAAUGACGUAGAUAUCGGAAGGAACACCAGUGGCGAAAGCGGCUUCCUGGUCCAGCACCGACGUUCAGGCACGAAAGCGUGGGGAGCAAACAGG
rnacentral:rRNA from 1 species